GAAGAGGAAGAAGAAGAAGAAGAUGGAUGCCGCAGCAAUUUCUGGCAGCAGCAACAGGAGGAUUCCAUUUCCCAAAUUUUCUCCUAAUAGAAUGAAAUCUGCUGCAAUAACGGAAAAUUGUUCCACUUUUUCACCUCUUCUCAUAAAGUCAAUGGCUACCCAGAAACCAUUACCAUCAGCUGCCAAAACUGUUAGCUCCAGAAAGAACUCAACUGUGUUUCCCCUUGAUGAGCAAGGCCCAAGGAAUAGCCCCGUGGUAGCCUCUCCUCCAGUUAAGCUACUCACUAGGGUGGAGCAACUAAAGCUACUGAGCAAAGCUGAGAAAGCUGGGUUGCUAUCUGCAGCAGAGAAGUUUGGUCUUUCUUUAUCAACAAUAGAGAAACUGGGUCUCCUCUCUAAAGCAGAGGAAUUGGGUGUCCUCUCUGCAGCAACUGACCCUGGGACUCCAGGGGCUUUGUUAAGCCUUAGCUUGGGAUUGCUGCUUUUAGGUCCCUCUUGUGUUUAUCUUGUGCCUGAGGAUUACCCCUGGGAAGUUGCAUUGCAGGUUGUGGUUACUUUGCUUUCUGUGGUUGGGGGUUCUGCUUCCUUUGCUGCCUCAAAUUUUGUAUCCAACUUGCAGAAAUCAAACUAAAUUGGACAAGCCUUAUUUCUUUGUGUUUAAUGUUUAAUGUGAGUUUGCUGCUUUUUGAUCCUUUUGUUCUACAUUGUCUAAUAUCAACCUUUGCAAGGUUUUGCCCCCUUUAUAAAAUUGUACCGAGAAUUCAAUGACACUGGAGUCUGGACGUGUACUAUUCACGCUAUAUAAUCUUCUUAUUUCAUUGAAACCAACAGCUGAAGCAAUGAUGACGAUUGCGAAAUGCAAAGGAUGGAUUCAACCCAUGUUUAUGGAUCAGUUAACAACAGUGGAGGAUCUCCAUUUAACUAAAAAUUUAAAUAAAUUGAAGCCAAGUCAACAGAGAUCAUUCGUUGUUGCUGCUACUAUAUAUUCCACAGGAGUCUGCCGGCGUGUGGGGUUAAGGACUUAUAGAAGAAAGGGAGGGAGAGAUCACAUUUACAAACUUAUAUAAGCUUUCCAUGAAGGAUUACAUGAGUGCACCAAAAUACACUUCCAUGCUAUGUAAGCUUUUAUGAAAUGCCCCAAGGGGGGAAAACAAAAGAACAAGGAUUCACAAUAAUAUUCUUCUGGAGAGUCCCAAAUAUAAAAAUAGAAAACCUGAACUUCUAGUGCCUUGACACCCCUCAUUUGUACUGUCAAAAAUCAUCUAUCCACUUUCAUUGCCCUAUGUUCAAGUAGAAACAGAACUACCUUUCACCCCACCCUGACGCCCUCCUCUUCUGCUUCCAUUCUGAUUAGCCCGCUGGUAAUCCUCACCAUUGUGCCCAGCUGAACCCUUGGCUCGCCCUGAAAACUCGCCCUGGUUUCUGAAUUCAUUCCUGAUAUAACCCCGGCCACUACCAAAGUUCCCACGAUUCUUGAAACUGUCACUCCUAUACCCACCUCUUCCGGAGGAAUACCUCCCUCUCCCACUGCUACCAACUCGGGUGUUGGUUUUCUUUUCCUCAACAAUAGCUUCAUGAUCCCCAAUAUUGAUAGGUGACGCCUCAAGUGCACUUUGCACGGAACUCCAUGUUUCGAAUUCAACAAAGCCGAAACAGAAUCCUUGCUUAUUACUUCUGACUUGGAUGCCUUCAUGCUUAAUUGGCCCAAAUUUUUUAAACACUCCAUCAAGUUGUGCAGCUGUGGCAUUAAAAGGUAAAUUUCGUACAUAUAUGGAAUGACCUUCAGCUGUAACAAGCACAACAUAAAAAAACAGAGAUUAUGGAAGUAUAACUCAAAAGGCAAAAAAAGCAUCUUCCACACAAAAUACAAGAUAGAAAAAAAAAUAUCCUUAGCCGAGCCUGCCCCAUAAUAGGCGGUUCCCACCCCACCCCACCCCACCCACCAAUAGGGGUUGACCUAGGUCUUCUCCAUUGUAAAGGAAGGGGUAUUCCCAUCAGCAUAUCCCCCUGGAGAUGAUCCUGCCAGGUGAAAUGCCUUGCAUUCACACCAUAAAGUAGAAUCUUAAUAUUUGCAAUCAAAAUGAAACAGAUCAACUUAAGUUGCACAUGUGCAUCAUUAACACAACCAUAUGUUCUCAAAAUUAGAAAUAUAUCAGGCAGAGUUAUAAAUACCUUCUUCAUGAAUAUCACUACUUUCAGGAACACCACCACUAGUAGGAGCAGCAGCCUCUGGGGCAUAAGCAGGUUUUACAGAAUUAAGCGAAUGUUUUUCAGAGUUGGCAGGAGCCACCUUUGAUCUAGUGGCAGCAGACACUGAACCAGGCAUUAUACCUUUCAUUACUUUCACAAUUGAAGCAUAUGAUUUCUUUGGAAUUGGAGCAUCUUCCAGGGCUACAGGAGCUGCAUCAACACUUGUGAGAGUUUCAUUACGGGUAGAACCAGCUUGGUGUUCAACAACCUCUUCUUCAAUCACUGAUCCUUCCUCCUUAUCAGAAGGAUCACAAACUUCUGCACCAUGAUUAAGAUUUUCCUCCUCAAAGGAAAUAGCAAGAUCCGCUGUAAGAUGAUCAGCAUCCUGAGUGGAAUCUUCUUCUAAAAUAUCACCCCAACCUGGUUGUGUUGUUAAGGUUAUAGGCACAGCAUUUUCAUUGACAUCAUUAAUCAAGAAAGAAUCCUUUGGAAAUGAUUCAUUCUCCCCAACAAACCUAAAUACAUCAUUCAACACGAAGUAGCCUUUGUCUUGUGGAGCAAGGAAAAAUGUUUGAGAGAAUUUCUUCUUCAAAUUGUCCUUUCCAGUUAAGUAACCAGUAACAAGAACCAUCACCCCUUUCUCAUAAGACUCCUGUGCAUCUGCAUUUUUUAUCUCAGCUGUGUAGUCUUCAUAAUUCAAUGAGAGAAUCUUGUCAUUGAUUGCUUGCAUGGUUGUCACUGUUGUCAUAGUGCCAUCAGCAUCUGGCCGGCUUAGCAAACUUGAAUCCUGAUAAAAUUUAUGAACCAAUCCAGGGGAUUGGUGUAAAAUAUGGUAAUACUGCUCCACAAAGGCAUUGCCCACAACUUCAGCACUAGGAGCAGGGGCAGAAGAAGUUUCCUGCAUUGCCAUCUAUAAAUAAAAUCCAAUGCAAACAUUCAGCAAGUGAAGUGUACCAAUGAAAUAAUCAGAUAAAUCAAAAGGAUUUAACCCAAAAGGGAAAAAAACAAAAGCAAUAAAGAAUUCUGAGGAAAUUGACCAAACAAAAUAACUCAAUUUGCACGGAGAGGUACAUCCGGAGUUUAAAAAAAGAAAGACAAUGAUUAACUAGUGGGCAAAAUAUCUCAGAUAUCCAAAUUAAGUUUGAAUAAAUAAGUUUCUAUCACCGUGGACAAGCUACCAUGAAAAUUCACAGAUUUUAGACUACUCAAAAUGCCAAAUACUUUGGUAACAAUAGCUUGCUUAUCCUACAGCUUAUGAAGAAGGCUCAAGACUCCCUGAAAACAAUAAUAGUAGCAAAAGGAGUAGGCAGAGGUCAAAGCGAAUUAGUAGAGUAAGGUUGACAGAGCAAUGUGCUCAUAUAUGCUCAAUUUGCUGCCUCAAGAUCCUGAUUGGUUGGUGUUUGAUUUGGGUUUCGCAGAUAGAGAGUAAAGGAGACAACAGAGAGAUCUGUUAAGACCUGAGAGGAGGAAGAUGAAGAAAAAGGAGGAGGAGAGAAAGUAAGCGUACGAAUCAAGGUAAGGAAAGGACGGAGCAAAGAUGCUCUGAGAGAGAGAGAGAGAGA
rnacentral:misc_RNA from 1 species